rnacentral:rRNA from 1 species
GAUGAACGCUGGCGGCGUGCCUAAUACAUGCAAGUCGAGCGAAUGGAUUAAGAGCUUGCUCUUAUGAAGUUAGCGGCGGACGGGUGAGUAACACGUGGGUAACCUGCCCAUAAGACUGGGAUAACUCCGGGAAACCGGGGCUAAUACCGGAUAACAUUUUGAACCGCAUGGUUCGAAAUUGAAAGGCGGCUUCGGCUGUCACUUAUGGAUGGACCCGCGUCGCAUUAGCUAGUUGGUGAGGUAACGGCUCACCAAGGCAACGAUGCGUAGCCGACCUGAGAGGGUGCUCGGCCACAACGGGACUGAGACACGGGCCAGAAUCCGACGGGAGGCAGCAGUAGGGAAUCUUCCGCAAUGGACGAAAGUCUGACGGAGCAACGCCGCGUGAGUGAUGAAGGCUUUCGGGUCGUAAAACUCUGUUGUUAGGGAAGAACAAGUGCUAGUUGAAUAAGUUGGCACCUUGACGGUACCUAACCAGAAAGCCACGGCUAACUACGUGCCAGCCGCCGCGGUAA